UAGUCGGGUUGCAUUUAGGUUCGUCUAG
rnacentral:piRNA from 1 species